rnacentral:rRNA from 1 species
UUCUUGGUCAUUUAGAGGAAGUAAAAGUCGUAACAAGGUCUCCGUUGGUGAACCAGCGGAGGGAUCAUUACCGAGUUUACAACUCCCAAACCCAAUGUGAACGUUACCAAACUGUUGCCUCGGCGGGAUCUCUGCCCCGGGUGCGUCGCAGCCCCGGACCAAGGCGCCCGCCGGAGGACCAACCAAAACUCUUAUUGUAUACCCCCUCGCGGGUUUUUUUAUAAUCUGAGCCUUCUCGGCGCCUCUCGUAGGCGUUUCGAAAAUGAAUCAAAACUUUCAACAACGGAUCUCUUGGUUCUGGCAUCGAUGAAGAACGCAGCGAAAUGCGAUAAGUAAUGUGAAUUGCAGAAUUCAGUGAAUCAUCGAAUCUUUGAACGCACAUUGCGCCCGCCAGUAUUCUGGCGGGCAUGCCUGUCCGAGCGUCAUUUCAACCCUCGAACCCCUCCGGGGGGUCGGCGUUGGGGAUCGGCCCUUCCCUUAGCGGGGUGGCCGUCUCCGAAAUACAGUGGCGGUCUCGCCGCAGCCUCUCCUGCGCAGUAGUUUGCACACUCGCAUCGGGAGCGCGGCGCGUCCACAGCCGUUAAACACCCAACUUCUGAAA